rnacentral:lncRNA from 1 species
GUAAAUCACCAACGUCCUGUAGUUUUAUGAAUAUUGAAUAUGCUUCUUUACAGGGCCCAGCAGCAGAGACCAGACAGCUGUACCCAGCUGUCUGUCCACGAACAGUGACCAGUCAAUGGGACAUCAAGAACACUUCAGGGAUGGGAACACUGGGCAUGCGUCUAAGUUGUCUGCUGACAGGAUCCAACAGGAGAGAGCCAAUUCCCCUGGACCAAGCUGUGAGUCCUUUAAGAGUGACUGGUCAAUGGUUCAUCUUAAAACACAAUUCGGGUAGGAAGGCAUUUCUACUGAUCAAAGAGACCAGCAAGAGAGAUCGGAGUCAGACAUUCCCGUGGCCGGUCUACGGCAGACACGUCCUCCAUAUUCAAGUUGGUUGA